rnacentral:tRNA from 1 species
UGAAAGCUUCAAAAGCGAUGCAACACCGUGUAAACAACACUAAAAACUUAGAAGUUUUAUACAACACCG